UUGCCUAAACUAGAUAAUGUAAGAAAGCCCACUUUAUAUUGAACGUAACGGCUCUUGCUAUCGUAUAUCGCCUCUUAUCAUAAAAUUGUGCUGUUGAAAAUUGAAUUGCUGUUUUAAAAAAGUAAAAUAACUUUAGAAUCGGUGAUAAACUGUGAUUAAAACUCUUUAACAUAAUGUUAAUAGAAUAACCAGUUUUUUAAUUUCGAUCAUGACUUUCAAAAACACAUAUUCCUAAAAUCAAAAGCGAAAAAAAUAUUUUAUUAUUCAAGCAAACCUAGAAUACACAAAGUUUUCUAUUUUAGUUUAAGAUUUUUAUAAUUCGUGUCUAACCUAGCAUUAUACGAAUAUUAAAAUCUAGACAUGGUGUAUGUGUGCUUUUCAACUAAAAUAUCCCAAUGUAUAAAUGUCUUUCCUAAGUUUUGUAUAUUUCAUUCAUUUCGAAAAAUAUUACAGUUAUGUAUUUGUACCUAACAAAAGAUACAGGUUAUAGUUUAAUAACAUUUUAUUUGAUAGAAUAUAAACUUGGACUGUACAUGAAUUCAUAUAAUUUCAGACAAUAUACAAAAGGGUUGGGUCGAAGGUAAUUACAGCAGUUUCUCAGGCUGCUCCCUAAUAAACGACCUGUCUAUAUUUGCAACGUUUCACAUUCCCAUUAGAUAUAUAUUACAUAUUAUUUGUAAACAAUUUGAUACAUUGUCAUUGAAAGCACGCAAUCGAAAACGGCUUGUAUAUUUAUUUUAAUUUGCUUAUUUUUAUACAGUUUGACUACAUUUGCCGUAAGGCAACAUUUUUUCAUAUGAUGAUUGAUAUUGAAUAAAAACCAAUAGGUUCUGUCCUAUAUCUUUGAAAAUAUUGUUUAAUUUUACGACCGAUUGUUUUAAAGAUUAUCCUGGGAGUGAAGCAAAAAUAGCUGUGAUCAAUGGAACAUUGCAGGGAAAACUAAUUCAUCCUGGAGAAACCAUUUAUCACAUUGCUCCAAGUUCCUGGUUGUUCAAACAGCCAACACCAUUUCAUACAGUGAUAUACUCUGAAAAAGACUAUCUAUGGAAUCACACAUUCCACUCAGAUGGGUACAAAAUGCAGGGAGUAAGACUCAGUUGAUGAAUAAUAAGCCAAGAGGCAGACGGAAACGAGAUUUACU